rnacentral:rRNA from 1 species
UGGGUAAUAUUGGACAAUGGGCGAAAGCCUGAUCCAGCCAUGCCGCGUGUGUGAUGAAGGUCUUCGGAUUGUAAAGCACUUUAAGUUGGGUGGAAGGUCAGUAAGCGAAUACCUUGCUGUUUUGACGUUACCGACAGAAUAAGCACCGGCUAACUCUGUGCCAGCAGCCGCGGUAAUACAGAGGGUGCAAGCGUUAAUCGGAAUUACUGGGCGUAAAGCGCGCGUAGGUGGUUCGUUAAGUUGAAUGUGAAAGCCCCGGGCUCAACCUGGGAACUGCAUCCAAAACUGGCGAGCUAGAGUAGGGCAGAGGGUGGUGGAAUUUCCUGUGUAGAGGUGAAAUGCGUAGAUAUAGGAAGGAACACCAGUGGCGAAGGCGACCACCUGGGCUCAUACUGACACUGAGGUGCGAAAGCGUGGGGAGCAAACAGG